GACAGAGGGUGCAAACGUUGUUCGGAAUUACUGGGCGUAAAGCGCGUGUAGGCGGCUAAGUAAGUCGGGCGUGAAAUCCCACGGCUCAACCGUGGAAGUGCACUCGAAACUGCGUAGCUAGAGUCCUGGAGAGGAAGGUGGAAUGCUUGGUGUAGAGGUGAAAUUCGUAGAUAUCAAGCGGAACACCGGUGGCGAAGGCGGCCUUCUGGACAGUGACUGACGCUGAGACGGCGAAAGCGUGGGGAGCAAACAGG
rnacentral:rRNA from 1 species